AUCCAGCUGGCUCAGUUGGUAGAGCAUGCAACUCUUGAUCUCGGGGUUGUGGGUUCAAGCCCCAUGUUGGGUG
rnacentral:tRNA from 1 species